rnacentral:misc_RNA from 1 species
GAAAUGCGAUAAGUAGUGUGAAUUGCAGAAUUCAGUGAAUCAUCGAAUCUUUGAACGCACAUUGCGCCCUUUGGUAUUCCAAAGGGCAUGCCUGUUCGAGCGUCAUUUGUACCCUCAAGCUUUGCUUGGUGUUGGGCGUCUUGUCUCCAGUUCGCUGGAGACUCGCCUUAAAGUAAUUGGCAGCCGGCCUACUGGUUUCGGAGCGCAGCACAAGUCGCGCUCUCUUCCAGCCAAGGUCAGCAUCCACAAAGCCUUUUUUCAACUUUUGACCUCGGAUCAGGUAGGGAUACCCGCUGAGCUUAAGC